GGUGCUUAGGGAUUACGUGGUUUGUGCUGACUGCAUGUAUGUGAGUAGCUGGGGCCUUUCUCUUUUAGCACCAACUAGAAAUCUGCCACAUCCAGACUUCUAGUCUGAUAUCAGAUGUAAAAAGAUGCUGAAUAAUGUAAUGACUAGUGAGGUUUUCCAUUGCGGUGGUCCCCGCUUAUUCACAGGGAAUACAUUCCAAGACUCCCAAUGGAUGCAUGUAACUGAAGAUUCUCUGCGAAAGACUACGUAGACAUCAUAUCAACUGUGAAUAAUGACUAUUUUGUUUUAUCAUAUCCCAUCUAUACUCUUCAACUUCCUUCUAUUGUAUUGGUUAAAACCUCCAGUACAAGAUUAAAUACAAAAGUUGAUGGUAAUCUGCAUCUCAUUAAUUGGACCAUAAGACCAAGCAGCCAGACCUCAGUUUUAUCCGGGUACAAAAUCUGGCAGCUCCACUGGGACAGAGCUGCCCUCAGCAGCUAGAGGCUUGUGACCUGACAGUCUUUAGGAGACUCCCAGCAGCUGCUAGGUACAGUUUGUCCUGAGGACACUUCUGAGAACUUUCCCUGGGCAAAAGGACCACCCAUCCCCUUGCUACUGGGGUAGAACAGGGGCUAGGACACUGAAGGGGAGCAUUGUGAACUCUGAAGAGCUGUGCCACACAUUCCAGCCCGGUGAUCAAGUGCUAUUAAAAGAAUGGAAAGAAACAGACCCUGCUUCCCAGCUGCAGGAGAAAUACAAAGGGCCCUAUGAUGUGCUGCUAAGCACCAGUUCAGCACUGAAACUGGUGGACAUCAAGCCAUGGAUCCACUACACAUGAUUGAAAAAGUUCCUGCAAGAAGAAACAUCCACGACAGAGGACACCAAGGCCACCAAAUGGGAGAUGGAACUCCUGGAAGGCCUAAGAUUUCUGUUCAACAAAUGACAAGAUUUUCCCUUAUAAUAUUUUUCCUUUCUGCUCCUUUUGUUGUUAAUGCCUCUACCUCUAACGUUUUCCUACAAUGGGCACACAGUUAUGCAGAUGGCUUACAACAAGGAGACCCUUGCUGGGUCUGUGGUUCGUUACCUGUCACUAACACCAUGGAGCUACCUUGGUGGGUCUCCUCGCUACAAGGGAAAGACUGGGUUUUUUUUACAAAGCUUUAUAGGGGAUCUUAAACAAAGGACAGGGGCACAGAUGACUGGGGUAACUAGAAAAAACAUUUCAGAAUGGCCUAUAAAUAAAACUUUAAAUGAGCCGGGGCAUGAUAAACCAUUUUCAGUAAAUGAGACAAGGGAUAAAGUAAUAGCCUUUGCCAUCCCCUUGUUGGAUACCAAGGUGUUUGUCCAGACUUCCAGACCUCAGAACACUCAAUAUAGAAAUGGGUUUCUCCAGAUAUGGGACGGGUUCAUUUGGCUGACAGCCACUAAGUGACACUUAAGCCAGAUAGCUCCCUUAUGCUGGGAGCAAAGAAAUCACUCCCUUGAUAACUGGCCAAACACAACUCGUGUUAUGGGAUGGAUUCCACCUGGACAGUGCCGACAUACUAUACUGUUAUAACAAAGGGACCUAUUUGCCACAGACUGGUCUCAGCGACCUGGCUUGAAUUGGUAUGCUCCCAACGGAACCCAGUGGCUCUGCAGCCCAAACUUAUGGCCUUGGCUUCCCUCAGGUUGGUUAGGACGCUGCACUCUAGGUAUUCCCUGGGCACAAGGACGCUGGGUAAAAACCAUGGAAGUCUAUCCUUGUCUUCCACAUGUGGUUAACCAAGGGACUAGGGCCAUUGUUCACAGGAAUGAUCACCUACCCACAAUCUUUAUGCCCUCAGUAGGUUUAGGAACUGUAAUACAGCACAUAGAGGCUCUAGCCAAUUUUACCCAACGGGCCCUAAAUGACAGCCUCCAAAGUAUUUCUCUCAUGAAUGCUGAAGUGUAUUAUAGGCACAAGGACAUCUUACAAAACCGAAUGGCCCUAGAUAUUUUAACUACGGCUGAAGGAGGAACCUGUGCCCUCAUCAAAACUGAAUGUUGUGUGUAUAUUCCCAAUAACUCUAGAAACAUUUCCUUGGCCUUAGAGGAUAUGUGUCGGCAAAUCCAAGCCAUCUCCAGCUCUGCACUGUCACUCCAUGACUGGAUAGCAUCUCAGUUUAGUGGAAGACCUUCCUGGUGGCAGAAAAUCCUCAUUGUCCUUGCCACCCUCUGGAGCGUAAGCAUAGCACUGUGUUGUGGACUGUAUUUUUGUCACAUGUUUUUCCAACACAUUCCCCAAACUCAUUCGAUUAUAUUUCAACAGAACUUCCCUUGAGCCCCCCAAGUCAGGAGCAUUACCAGAGCCAAAGAGACAUCUUCCACUCUAACGCCCCCCGACAACGACCCUAUUCAGCAGGAAGUAGCCAGAGAGACUACGUCGCCCAUUUCUCUUUAGUCUGCUAUGUUAUAGUUUACACUUUUGUACUAAUCUUUAAUGAAUUAAUGCUUAAAAAAAAGUAACUGACAUGAUAGGAAUCAUGCACAAAUUGUGGGGACUGUGGCAGGCCAGGUCUCCGUUAGCAACCAGAACAGUCAGUUUCCACUAACCCUCUACUGUAAUUCUGAUGAAUGUGUAAAUUAAACAUUAGUAGUUGGAGAAACUGGUGCCUUAAUACAAGGGCUGAAAUGUGAAGACAAACCCAUUAAGACCCCACCUGGGUUUUCUCAGACCUUAAACCCUGAUAAAAUAAUGAAGGCAUUUUUACACACACCUUGUACAAGGGCCCACUUAAGAUUAAGUAAUCUUUCCAAGGUUCUAAAGAAACUUUCCAGACCCCAGACCCUAGUUAAAGAUUAGAUUGAGUGAAACACUCCUAAUGGCAGGUGCACAUCCACAUGUAGGCAUAUAGCUUGAAUGUAUAUAAGGCCUGAAGAAAAACUUGUAAUUUUGAGUGGUCUGGUGAACUUUCCUGACCUUCUCCCUGUGGCUGGUUACAGAAGUAAACCCUCUUCUUUGCCAGUCUGUCCACAUCUCAUUAAUUAGACCAUGAGACCAAGCAGCCAGACCCGUUUUGUCCAGGUACAGGUAGAGCAGUCGGAACAUACACAUUUAUCAAUUAAGUUCACCAUCCUGUAUAGACAUGAUUCGUGGUGUCCCAAAACAAUUAUGAUAGUAACAUGAAAGAUCACUGAUUACAGAUCAUCAUAAUAGGUGUAACAAUAAUGAAAGCUUGGAAUAUUGCAGGAAGCACCAAAACAUGACAGAGACAGGAAGUGAGCACAUGCUGUCAGAAAAACGGUGCUGAAUACAGGUUGCCACAAACCUCCCUUUUUUUUUUUUUAAAUGCAGUGUCUGUGAAAUGCAAUAUAGCAAAGUGCAAUAAAAAAGGCAUGCCUGCAUAUAUCCUCUUCUUCAUAUGUAACAAGAUAAUAUAUAAACUUCACUGUCCCUUUUUUACUUACUGGCAGAGACUGCUGGUUAUUACCAGUAUCUAUUCUCUACUUCUUCCUUCAUAAUAAAGCCUCAGACUUACAGCAGAGUAUAUGGCUGCCCAGAAUAAAGAAUAUAUUUCAUAGUUUGUGUGGCAGGAACACUUGGUCCUGUGACUAAAUUCUGGCCAAUGAGAUGUAAACACCAGUACAAUGUGGCUGCUGGUACACGUUCUUUUCUUCUUUUUCUGUCAUCCUCAUGCCUGGGAUGCAGAUAUUAUUUCUGAAGUUCUAUUCCCUAUCUUUGCCUAUGAAGACAAGGGCCACAUCACAGGGAAGAUAGAGCACUGACCUAGGUGGGUCUCAGGCCCUCAAGAGCUUCAUGGAGCAGAGCUGCUACACUAACUCCCUACAACCGCAGUUAUAAACAAGACAGAAAUGACUCAUCAUCAAA